rnacentral:lncRNA from 1 species
CAAAGAGCCCCCAAGAAAGCAAUCUAUGUGUGUCUCCUCACACUGGAUGCGUCGGUGGCAGGAGCCGGCCUCGGCCUUCCAGCAGAGUGGUGCUGGCUUUUGACCAGGCUCCUCUCUGCCUGUCACCCCCCACCCACCCAGCCCCUCCCUCCCGUCCCCUCCUCUCUCUCCCAGCCCUGUCACCACCACCAGCAAGCCCCCCCAGUCUCCUCCUCCUCCUCCUCCAACCUUCUCUUCUUUCAAGCACCUGGGGGGAGCAGUCCAAAUCCCUUCACCUCGGGCAAGAAAACUAGGGAUGUCUGGGGUGGGGGUGGGGGUAGAUUCAAGCCAGUGGACAAGGGGGCACAGAGGCCUUUUAAAAAAUCCGCUGUGCACCGCCAGCGCGGGAGGGGAAGGAGGCGAGCCGCGCGCUCACGUGGCCCCCUCUCAGAACUUGCGGGGCCUAGCCAAGCCGCUGGUCCGCGCCCCCCCCAAGGAGGCCGGCGGGGCGCGAAGGCCAGCUGUCCCAAGGCAGGGUGGACAGGCCACGGCGAUCAGGCCCAGGGCCUGAGCCUCACGCGCUGGCCCGGACCACAGGGCCCGGCACGGGGCCGCGCGCCCCCGCCUCUCCCCGGAGCCCGCCCGUGCCCCUUCCUCCGCAGCCCUGCGCCCCUCGCUCGGCCCGGCCCCCCUCGCCGCCCCCCCGCCCGGCGCACACCCACCCCCUGCCCAGGGUUGGCCUUCGCGGCGGUCAAGCCCGGGCGUCUGGGCCGCAGCUCGGAUGACCUUUGUUCAGCGCGGCGCGGCGGCGGCUGCUGCUGCUGUAGCUGCUGCUGCUGUCGUCGUAGCGGCGGCGGCGGCGGCGGCGGCUUCCAUGUUACGGGCGUGUCAUCUGCAUUCCCGCGCGGGGUCGGAUUGUGGUGUGCGGCGGAGGGCGGCCUCGCCGCCGGGCCGCCGCCGAUGCUGCCGAUGCCGCCGCUGCCGCCGCCGCCUCCUCCCGGGCCGCCCCCCGCCGGCGCCGCCGCCGCCGCCGGCUCGCCGUGCGCCGGCCCGCCCCGCGCCUCCCGGCGCCGCGCUCUAGGCCGCAUCGGGCGGCGGCGGCGGCCCGCCACGCCGGGGCCUACGAUGGGGGUGCGGGCCCGGCGGCGGCAGCGGCUCGGCCCGAGCGGCGAGCAACAAAAGGGAGCGCGGGAGGGGAGGGGGGCGCCGGGGGGGGAAGGGAGGAUCGGGAGAAUGGAGGCGAGAGCGCGAAGCCCCGCAGCCCGCGGGCGCGGACGCCCGGCCGGUGCCGACUCGGCGGAGGGAAGCCGAGCCCCCGCCGACCUGCCAUCUCCGCCUCUGGGCCGCUGCGUCGUCGUGCUUCGCCCCGGAGAGCGGUGUGGUGGUGGUGGUGGGUGGUGGUGA